rnacentral:lncRNA from 1 species
UCAUCGUUCUGCACAACAGUGAACUCGCAACAAAGCAAUAGUUCGAGAUAUGGCCACUAGGUGACAGCAAAUAUCUUGAGUGAAGAGCAAAUCAAGGGUGCUAAUUAAUUUCUGACGGUAGUGUACAUCCACCUUGUGUAGGUCCCUCAGGCUGUGGGCCCCUGAAACCCAGUCUUCUGCAGGAACUAGUCCUGAAACGCGAUAGCAUUGUUGAGAUCUUUGGCACAAUGCAGUGGCGACCCGUUCUGGCAUUUGUGUAGCUUUCAAUGCCAAAAUUUGGCACAAUCACUUCUAACAUCUUCCAGAUGUAUAUUUCUGCAUAUUUCUCCCGCCUUCACUCCAGGGAGUAGUCUUAGCUGUUUCAACAUUUCCCAGUAGCUGAGCUGUUGCAAUGAGACGAUCUUCUUUGUGAAGCUUCGCUGGAUUGCUUCAUGGUCCGCUGUUAAUGUUACACUGUGGGGUGACCAUAUUUGGGAGCAGUAGUCUAGACGAUUGAAUACGGAUAUCUUCCAGAGGACCGUUAUGGUUUCCUUCUCUCUGGUUCUGAAGGUUCUCAGGAUCCAGCCAGCCGUCUGCACUUUGUCGCCAUCCUGGUAAUGUGCACUUGGAAAGAGGUAUCAUCACUCAUGUUGAUACCCAGGUCCCUCACUGAUUUAUAUUCUGGGAUUGUAAUCCCCACCUGAGCCAAUGUACCCUGUAAGGUUUUCAUUCAGUUUUGGUAGCGCAGGAAUUGGAAUUUUCAAGCAUUAAACUGCAUAUUAUUAUCCUCAGCCCAUCUGUAAAUUGCGUCCAACUUCUGCUGCAGGCGUGCAAAAUCGCUAGGAUUUUGUAUUUUCUGUGAGACUUUCGUAUCGUCAGCAUAGCUUGCAAGGGUGGCUAUCCGGGAAGCUGAGGGCAUAUCUGAGAGGGCCACUAUAAAAAGCAGUAGUCCCAAGACAGUGCCCUGUGGAACACCACUCACUAUUUGUGUUUUCUUUGAGGUGGCUCCAAUGACCACUACUGCCUAACUUCUAUCUUUCAGAAAGUCAUGUAACCAUUCUCCAAGUUUUCCAGCUAUGCCAAGAUAGCGCAGUUUGUGGCAUAUCAUACCGUGAUUAAUUUUAUCAAAAACUUAUGCAAAGUCAAGGUAUUUUACGUCCACAUUUGAGUUGUCGACUAACUGCUUCAACACACAGUCAUAGUGUUGUAGGAGCUGGGUCAGGCAGCUCCUACAUAGUCGAAAGCCAUGCUGGGUAUCAUUCAGCAAGUCAUUUUCUUCGAAGAAUGCAAUUGGUUUCCCUCUGACUAUUCGUUCCAUGACUUUCCUGGUGUGUGAAGUGAGAGAUAGGCCUAAAUUUUUUGGUAUCUGCUCUGCUUCCUCUUUUGUGGAUUCGGCAUAUUAUUCCUUCCUUCAGUUUGCAUGGCAGCUUGACAUUUGCAAGAAAACUCUGAAAGAGAAUCCCUAAUGGUUUUGCCAAGGCAUGUUCGCACGAUUUCAGAAGAAUUGCUGGUAAACCAUCAAGGCCAGCAGCUGAGUGUGCGUCCACCUAAUCUAUGUCUAGUAUUAUAUCUUCUUCACCAACGUCGAUCGGAAGAGCGCCGUG